rnacentral:rRNA from 1 species
UACGAAGGGUGCAAGCGUUACUCGGAAUUACUGGGCGUAAAGCGUGCGUAGGCGGUUUGUUAAGUCCGCUGUGAAAGCCCUGGGCUCAACCUGGGAAUUGCAGUGGAUACUGGCAAGCUAGAGUGCGGUAGAGGUGAGUGGAAUUCCCAGUGUAGAGGUGAAAUUCGUAGAUAUUGGGAAGAACACCGGUGGCGAAGGCGGCUCACUGGCUCAUAUCUGACGCUCAGGCGCGACAGCGUGGGGAUCAAACAGG